rnacentral:rRNA from 1 species
AGAACGAACGCUGGCGGCAGGCUUAACACAUGCAAGUCGAACGCGUGUAGCAAUACACGAGUGGCGCACGGGUGAGUAACGCGUGGAUAUCUGCCUUUUGGUUCGGAAUAACCCCGGGAAACUGGGGCUAAUACCGGAUGGUUCCUUCGGGAUAAAGAUUUAUCGCCAAAAGAUGAGUCCGCGUACGAUUAGCUAGUUGGUGAGGUAAUGGCUCACCAAGGCGACGAUCGUUAGCUGGUCUGAGAGGACGAUCAGCCACACUGGGACUGAGACACGGCCCAGACUCCUACGGGAGGCAGCAGUGGGGAAUAUUGGACAAUGGGGGCAACCCUGAUCCAGCCAUGCCGCGUGAGUGAUGAAGGCCUUCGGGUUGUAAAGCUCUUUUGGCGGGACGAUGAUGACGGUACCGCAGAAUAAGCCCGGCUAACUUCGUGCCAGCAGCCGC